rnacentral:rRNA from 1 species
GAUGAACGCUAGCUACAGGCUUAACACAUGCAAGCCGAGGGACCGGCGCACGGGUGAGUAACACGUAUCACACCUGCCCUUUACUCGGGGAUAGCAUUUCGAAAGAAAUAUUAAUACCCGAUAUAAAGGAUGGGGAUGCGUUCCAUUAGGUUGUUGGUGAGGUAACGGCUCACCAAGCCUUCGAUGGAUAGGGGUUCGGAGAGGAAGGUCCCCCACAUUGGAACUAAGACACAGUCCAAGCUCCUACGGGAAGCAGCAGUGAGGAAUAUUGGUCAAUGGGCGCUAGCCUGAAACAGCCAAGUAGCGUGAAGGAUGAAGGCUUAUGGGUCGUAAACUUCUUUUAUAUAAGAAUAUGUAUUAUAUGAAUAAGGAUCGGCUAACUCCGUGCCAGCAGCCGCGGUAAUAC